CAGAAAUAACCUACAGUGAAAAUCCUGAAGCUGCUUUUGUCAAGGCCAACAACUUCUCCUACGCCAUUGUUGUUAUUGGAGAGCUUCCUUAUGCAGAAACAAACGGAGACAAUCUCAACCUGACAAUAACAGAAUCAGGUCCUUCUGUGAUCAACAAUGUCUGUGGCACCACUAAAUGCGUUGUCGUUGUAAUCUCCAGCCUCCCUUUGGUGAUUGAGCCAUACAUGGCCCAAAGAGAUGCUCUUGUUGCCGCUUGGCUUCCAGGAACUGAAGGACAUGGAGUUGCUGAUGUGCUUUUCGGAGACUAUGGAUUUAGUGGGAAGCUGUCUCGAACUUGGUUCAAGUCCGUAGAUCAGCUGCCCAUGAAUUCUGGUGAUGCACAUUAUGAUCCUCUUUUUCCCUAUGGUUUUGGUCUCACUACUCAAGGUGCAAAAUCAAGCUAGAAAGCAAGAAUUUUCAUUAAUUAGUAGAUUAGUGCGAUGAUUAACAUCCGAUAAGAUUUUAAUCAUAGGAUUAGUGGAGAUGUUUAAGGUAGUUUUGUAAUAAGAGAUAAGUUGUGUUAAUGUUUCUAUGAUGUUAGGAAUAGCAAAUUGAAUUUUUGUAGAUUUAAUUUGAUCAUUAAUUAUGUCUUAUUUUCAUAAAUUUUGUCUUCAUGGAGUUAGAAAUUUGGUAAAUAAAUAUAAUAAAUAUAGUUUAUUUUGAAUCAAUUAAACUGGAUUUUAUUUUAAUAUAUAUAACAAAAUUAGCUUUAACAUAUUUAUGAAUAAUAAAAAUUAUUUUUCUAUUUUUGUAAUGCUAUUGGAAUUUUGUUAUGAUUUUAGGUAGGUUGUCAUGUAAUUAGGAUAUCCUUUUGCUUUAGGAGAGAAUGUUUAUAGGGGCCAAAUCCUUUUUUUUUUUUUUUUUUUUUUUUUUGUAAGCUCUAGCUAGAGUAUGAGAUGCAAAAGUUGCUUGUUGACGAACCCAUUACACAGAAAUAUCAACACGAAAAUCUAAAUAUGUCUACAAUCAGAAAGCAAAACUUCGAACUCAGAAUAAUAUCAAACAAUAAUUAAAACGUGGUUUGUAACGUUUUCAUUUUCUAAUAAAAGGCCAACUUUACCAACUUGGUAUGCUAAGUCAUUAAAAAUACACACGUAUGCUGCUUUACUAUCCAUAGAAUAUUUCUUUGUAACUUUUCAUAAUUGUAAGAGUAAAUAAACCCAGGCAUUUCGGAUGAAGAAAUUUGGCAGUUGUUUCAUUUAGAUGAUUGUGCCUAGGAUUGGAAGGUCCAACCAUCAAUUUCUAAGUUGGAUUACUGAAGUAAUUGAAGAGCAAGAACGAAAGAGAGAAAUAAAGGGAACCUGGUCGCGCUUGCUGAGGUGGAUGAAACCAGAAGAUCGGUCAAGAUCUCCACCAUAGACGGAUCCAUGUUUCUGCAAAUCUUCCCACUCCUUAGCUGUACUAAUCCUGUAAACGUAGUCUUCGCCUUCACUCCCACUCGCUUCCUCCUUCGCAGCCAUCAUCAAGCGCGGCUGGCCACUUGAACAAACAAAAGUUAAUCAGAACUCAGACGCACGGAUUAACAAAAAAAUCCACGCGUCAAACCAGAAAUGGGCUUAUUCGAACUUAACAAGGCCGGGCCACUUGUCAAAGUAAUGGUUGGGCUUUCAUAGAAGAAAUCAAUCGAAGUUAAUAGUGUGAGCCCAAUAAAUCUUUUGCAGGCUCAUUAAAACAAACUCAGGCCCAAAUUUCUGGACCCGUUGUGAAAUUUCGCCCAAUUAUCUUCGCCCAUUAAUAAAUUUAGGCCGAAUAAUUUGGGCAGCGGAGGCCCACUUCUGAAAUUAAGCCUAUAUGCUGGGCUCAAUACAAUUUUCCAGGCCCAAAUUUAUGGCCCAUCUACGGAAACCAGGCCCAUUUUGUUGUUCCCACUUCGGCUACGCAGACCCAUUUAAGGCCCAAUAUAUUGGGCCCAUUGUAUAUUUCCAGCCCAAAUUUUCGGCCCAUUUACAUGACCAUUUUGUUGACCCACUUUGGGCCACUCAGGCCCAUUUAAGGCCCAAUAUUUUGGGCCCAUUAUAAAAUUUCAGGCCCAAAUGUUUCGGCCCAUUUAUGAAAUCCAGGCCCAAUACCCGUUUAUUAAAAUUGAGCCCAAUUUUUUGGCCCAUUGUAAAUUCAAACCCAGUUUAUUGGGCUUAAAUCUACCAACACAACUUGGUAUGCUGCUUUACUAUCCAUAGAAUAUUUCUUUGUAACUUUUCAUAAUUAAAUCUACCAAUAGUACUAGUGAAUGAAUAUAAGUUUUGGUUGUGUUGUUUGUUUCUAUUUUACGAUUGGUGCUUGACUAUGUCAAAACGCAGCACAAUAGUUAGCUAUCAAUGCAUCUUUCAACUUGUAAAAAACAUUAAGUAUCAACCGUAGAAUUUAAUGUGUGAUAGUGUAGAAUUUAAUGCUCAGCAAUAAUUUAAUGUGUGAUAGUGAAAAAUGAAAAAGCCAAAGAACAAUAAAACUAAUCUUUGAUAUUCACUUAUCAUUCUGAAAAUUACAAAACUUCCUGGAUAAUAGAUGGAGGGAUAGAACUCCACCAGACAUAGAACUAGUUGCUCGAGCUAGCAUAUGAAGACAUUAAUUUGCUUAUUGUUUAAACAAAAUUAAAGGACAAAGAAGGAAAAUCACUAGAGAAGGAUUUGCAACCUUGAAGCAAAGAACCAAAAUAAGAAAAAUCAUAGAAAUUGAACUAGUAUUUCCUCUUAUAUAUAAUUAUCGAGAUCGUCAGCAUAUUUUUUUUGGCUUUUUUAUUGGAGAAUAUAUCAAAGUUUUAUUAUAAACAAUUCAAAUAAAUUACCAAUAAUUUCAAUAUAAUACUUUUCUCAACAACAAUUUACUUGAUGUUAAUAAAUUAGAUUUAUGUUCAAAUUUUUUAAAAUAUAUAUAUAUUUUUUAUGUAUAUAUUAUGAAAGUUACUAUGAUCGAGAGCCAAAAAUUCACAUAUAGAGUAAUAGCUAACCCAAGUUGAUGUGUCAUUACUAAAACCAACCUAAAUUAUUAAAUCUUUAAUUUUCAUCACCAUUUUGGAUAGAUUAUAAUUAAUAUCAUCAAAAAUUAAUAAAAAAUAUUUGGAUCUAUGAUUUAUUUUUUUUUAUUCAUUAAAAAUACACACAUACUAGUACUAGUGAAUGAAUAUAAGUUUCGGUUGUGUUGUUUGUUUCUAUUUUACUAUUGGUGCUUGACUAUGUCCAAACGUAGCACAAUAGUUAGCUAUCAAUGCAUCUUUCAACUUGUAGAAAACAUUAAGUAUCAAUCCGUAUAUUAAUGUAGAAUUUAAUGUGUGAUAGUGUAGAAUUUAAUGCUCAGCCACAAUUUUUAUGGACCGCCUAAUUCGACUCAAUGUUAGACCUUUUUACUUUUCCCUGCAAGUGUAUAGUGGGAAUCGAACACUCGACCACAACCUGUAGGUCUUACUUUUAUUAUUUAAAAGUCUUUUUUAUAAGAAUAAAGUGUUCUCAGCCAGUAUUUGCUCCAUCCAUGAGGAUCGAAGAUCGAACACUCGAUCUCACCUAAGGGAAAAAAAAGUAUCAAACUACUCAUCUAAACACUCAUUAGUAUAAAAUGUAAUUUUUAAAUCAGUUAUGACUAAAGCUAUUUUAAAAUAUUCUAAAUUUCAUUGAGGGCGAUAUCGAAAAUCUCAUUAUUCCCCUCUAUUCCCACAUUUACAUAUGGUAUAGAUUGUGUUCAUUAGUAUAACAUUUGUACUAGUAUUUAGACUUUGAUUGCUCCCAUAACACUUUACAAUUACUAAAAUAAUUAAUUUUUAUCAAACAUAACCUAAGUUUUGCAUUGACUACAAGUCUUCUCUUGAUAUUAAGAUGAACUUCAACCUCACGCGUUCUGUCUAAGAACUUGUAAUUAAUAUUCCACUGAUAGUAUUUGACUUACUCACCUUCAUUUUUAUUUGGAAGUUAGAAGCUCUAAAUUACCUAAACUGUUGGCGAGCUGCUUGAAAAUAAGAAAUUCAAUCUUAAAGAAAGUUCAUUUGAGUUCAUUCAACAAACUUAACAAGAUGAGUUUGAUCCUUUCAAGCCCAUUUAAUUAAUAAACCAAGUUCAAACUUGAAUUCGAGCUUUAAAGAAGGCAAAAUGAUACGUAAUUUGGAUAUUUUAUUCACUGAGUAGAAAUUAUAAGGGGCAGUUCAGAUCUUUCUUACACAAUAGACGCCAAAUGGAGCUCUUUUCGAAUGGAGGGAAUCAUAAUCAUAUAAAGACAUAAGUUAGGGCCCUGAAAGUUAUUUUAUCAAAUUAGAGGGAUGUAAAUGUUAGUUACACAAUAAUAAGUUGGGAAUGUUAAUGUAUUUUUUAUCGAAAACUAACAUUUUAUUGUUCUGUUUAAAGAUGAUAUUUAAUAAAAAAAUAUAAAUCUUCGUAAUAAUAAUUAAUUAUUUAUCUGAUUUGGACGUCAAAAUAACUUUUAUGGGGUUUUCUAUACCUAAAUUGCCUUUCAAGAAUUUGAUACAUAUGAUGUGUAUGGACGAGUUUCCACAACUAUGGGUCAAUAAUUUAGUAACGUGUUGCACUAUCAACCUUCAUUUGUAGAAAAUCCAUAUCUAUCUCUAACUAAAUAAAAUCAAAUAUCAUACAAUCUAAAUUCUCAUUAGAGAAAGACAAAAAAUAUCUAAAUCAAUGAAAUAUCUAUCUUGAGACAAAUAAUAACAGCACGCAAAAAAAAUAAAGAAAAAAAAAGAUGGAAAUACACAUAUUUAAGUUCAUCAACAAGACAGCUCCAAUCUAAAAUUAGAAUUAAAUGAUGACAGGCUUUUUGCGCAAGUGUACGAAAUUGCACAAGUAAUAGAAGUGAGUAGCGUAUCGUCCCAUAAAAAUUGUAUACCAAGUAUUAAAAUUGUGUUAACCUAUUAUUAUUUAAACGACAAUAAAGAGAAUGUAUUUGAAAAUAAAAGAAUUAAAGUAAAAACAAUAAGAAUGAGAUCAAGCAAGAAUUUGUUGAAAAGAAAUCAAGGUUUGAAAAUUAUUAAGGAUUUUGACUUCACUUAGUUCUAUCCAUUUUAUCCUAUUAGUUUGAUAAUCAAUUUUAAUUAUUCAAGAAGAAAUAACCCUAAAAUCGCUAAAAAGCUCUCUCGAUGAAUUAGCUAUUUUAACCCAAUUCAAUUAUCCAUCUCUCAAUGACGCAACCAAACAUAGAUUAAAUCAUUAAGUUCUUGUGAUUAUUGAGGAAUCCACAAAUUAAAGCCUUUAAUUUUAUGAAAACCUACCACGAGUCAAACCAUCUAGCUCUCGCAUCAAAUUGUUAUUCCUAUGAAAUUUGUUACCCUGUUCAUAUAAAAAAUCAUUCUCUCGACAAUGAUUAAUGAAAUAAAUCAAUCAAAGGGAGAAACUCCGCCUGUAAGCAUUAAAAUCAAUAAUAAAUUUUAAUUGAAUAAAGAAAAUCAAAUCUAAUAUUAUAACCUGGAAUUGAAGUCAAGCUACAUCAUAUACCUAGUAAAAAGAUUUAGUUCGACAUAGUAAAUAAAUUAAACUCAAUUAAACUUGUAAAUAAUCCCACAAUGAAUAAUAAAUAAAAAGGGAGUUUAGAAAUAAAAACUAGUCAACGAUUGGCUUGAGCAGCUUCCUUAAAUCUUGACACCAAUCUUGAGCACUUGAAGUCUUAAAAAAAGAGAAAACUAUGCAGAGAACAAUAGAAUUAGAGACGAAAUAUAUAAUGAAUAUCUCCCAGAUUAUGGCUAGUCUCUCUCUUUAUAUAGACUUUAUGAAAUAUCUUCGAAUUCGUUUGGGGAAGUGAAUCUCUAUUGAAGAAGAAAUCUUUUAGAGAUAGAAAACUAUUUAUACUUUGUAUUUCUUUUCAAUUAGGACUCUCUCAGCGUCUAAAUAAGACUCUAGCUUUAAUAAGGCAUGUCCCACAAUAUCUUCAUGCAGAUCCAUACAAGCAGCACGAGCUUAGUUUGGUAAAUAAAAAUAAUAAAUAUGUUUUAUUUUGAAUCAAUUAAACUGGAUUUUAUUUUAAUAUAUAUAAGAAAAUUAGCUUUAACAUUUUUAUGAAUAAUAAAAUAUUUUUUUACUAUUUUUGUAAUGCUGUUGGAAUUUAGUUAUGAUUUUAGGUAAGUCUUUGCUAUUAGAAAUGACAUCAUAAUUUCCAUUUAAAAAUUAAAAAAGAAAAAACUCAUUAAUUUCUGAUUAACACAUGAUAAAGACUUAUAAUAACCGGUCAAUUUACAUAUACUAAUACUAAUAUCCAUAUCAGUGAAUAGUCAAUAAAACUAAUCAGGUGUGGUCUGAUUGUUCUUCUUAUCUUUUGUAGAAGAUAUAAGAAGUUGGGGCUCUCUCCGCCAUAAAGAUUAUCGUAAAUUUGAUGAAUUUUACAUAUAUAUUUAUGAAAAAAUGAUGAAUUUUCUCAACAAUAAAAAAAAUGUAUCCAUGAUUUUUAAAGUUUAAAAAAUAUUUGGAUCUAUGAUUUUUUUUUUAUUAUUCAUUAAAAAUACACACAUACUAGUACUAGUGAAUGAAUACAAGUUUUGGUUGUGUUGUUUGUUUCUAUUUUACUAUUGGUGCUUGACUAUGUCAAAACGUAGCACAAUAGUUAGCUAUCAAUGCAUCUUUCAACCGUAUACAGAUGUAGAACUUAAUGUGUGGUAGUGUAGAAUUUAAUGCUCAGCAACAAUUUUACGGGGACAGCCUAAUUCAGCUCUAGAUUUAGUCACAAUAAGGCAUCUUCACUCUUCUCUAUAAGUGUAUUUAGUGGAGAUUGAAUCCGAGAGCUCUUCCCACGUGUCCAGUCUGCGGUGCCAAUUGAGCUAUCACUUGAUAUUAUAAAUAUAUUUUUUUGAAUUAUUUUUAUAUUAACCAUCACUCGAUAUUAUAAAUAUAUUUCCCAAAAUUCCAUUGAAUUUUCAAUUUUGAAAAUUUAAUAAUAUUUAAAAAUAUUUCAAUAAUUUGAUUGGUGAAUAUAAGUCAGUCUUGCAUCUCAACAUCAACAGGUACAAUGACUGAAGCUGGCAAGCAGGCAGAAAUUUACUUGGUCAACUCUUCUUCUUAUUUUCCACAUACAUAGCUAAGACCUUUCCACCUUUCCUUUAAAUUUCUUUAGAUUGUGUAAUUGAGAAAUCUGACAAAGCAAAGAUGUUACCUUUCUGGUUUGUGAUAUUCACAUUCAUCUCCCAACCCGCAACAUCUAUAGAUGUAAUUUCUUCUAGUUGUCAUGAAAAAUGUGGGGACGUUCUUGUUCCAUACCCAUUUGGAAUCAUCUUCACAUCUGAAAUUUCUAAUCCCGACAAUUGUGCGCUAAACAAGCAUUUUAUCUUAACUUGCAAUGUAAGUGAUGAUCCUCCGAGUCUAUUUUUUGGGGAAAACAUGCCUAUUCACAAUAUAUCAAUAGAAGAAGGAACCAUCUCCGUCCGAAUUGAUUCAGCAUCCAAUUGCUACAACGAGACAGGAAUAACGGACUAUUUUAGUCAACAUAUUACAAUGCGAAGCGGCCGGCCAGUUCGGUUCUCUGAUACUCGGAACAAGUUCACAGUAGUUGGUUGCGAUACUUUAGCCUAUAUGGAAGAUGACGAAGAGACUUUUGGUAGCGGCUGUAUUUCGUUGUGUGACAGUAAUGUUACUCUAGAAGGUCCUUGCUCAGGCCGUGGAUGCUGCCAGACACCGCUACCGCGAAAUCUUACAACACUAAACAUUCAACUCUCAAGCCUUUAUAAUCAUAGCAGGGUUUGGCAGUUUAAUCCGUGUGAAUUUGCGUUUUUAGCCGAUGAAAGGACUUUUAACUUUUCGAAUCUGCAGCUCUCUUCUUAUCCAUAUUCGCAAGAGACUAAAAAGUAUUUUGCAUCUGAUGUUGUGAUUGAAUGGGCAGUAAGAGAGGAGACAUGUGAAGAGGCGAAAUCGACUUCAAAUCCGGAUAAAAACUAUGCUUGUGGCCCAAAUACUGAUUGUAAAUACUACGAAAAUGUCGGAGGAUAUCGGUGCAACUGCAGAGAUGGAUUUACAGGAAAUCCUUAUCUUACACAGGGAUGCCAAGGUAGUUAUUCAAAGCAAUCAUCCUCGUCUUAUUGUUCUUUGGCUUUUUCAUUUUUCUUGGUUUCUAUUCCUUCUCUAAUGAAUCGCUCCAUAUCUAUAUAACAGACAUUGAUGAGUGCAAAGAACCAGACAGGUACAAGUGCGAUGGUACUUGCAAGAAUACAGAUGGGAACUACACAUGCAGUUGCCCACUUGGGAUGCGUGGUGAUGGUAAAGUUGGCUGUCAAGGAUUUCGCAUUACGACUAUUGCUGCGAGUACUAUCUCAAGUCAUUAUCCUCUUGCUUUCCUUCUUUAAUAUUAAUUAAGUUUUAACCAUCAAUAACUGAUCUUUCAUUUUGUUUAAAUAGUUGUUGGAGGGGUUGCAUCCAUUAUGGUUAUCGCUUUCCUGAUCAUCAUUCUAUACAAGAGGCGAAGAAACGAGAGGAAUUUUUUGAAAAAUGGCGGCUUGUUGUUGAAGCACCAAAGGGUAAGAAUCUUCACAGAAGCAGAAUUAGUGAAGGCUACNNNNNNNNNNNNNNNNNNNNNNNNNNNNNNNNNNNNNAAAGGAGUUUUGGCAGAUAACACCCAAGUUGCAGUAAAGAAGCCUAAAGAUAAAGACAAGACUCAAAUAAAUCAAGAAUUUCAACAAGAACUUGGCAUUGUUUUACAAGUUAACCAUAGAAAUGUUGUUAAGGUAUUAGGCCUUUGUUUGGAGACUAAAGUUCCUUUAUUAGUUUACGAAUUCAUUUCCCAUGGAACCCUUUCCCAGCAUAUCCAUUACAACAGGUCUAAAAUAUUAGCCACAUGGAAAAAUCGUCUAAGAGUAGCAGCAGAGACUGCGCUUGCACUUGAUUAUUUGCAUUCUUUAGCAGAUCCCCCAAUUAUCCAUGGCGAUGUCAAGUCAUGUAAUAUACUCUUAGACGAUACUUACACUGCUAAAGUAUCUGAUUUUGGAGCUUCAGUACUAAUUUCUCCAGGUCAAUCUGAUAUGGCCACAAGAAUACAAGGGACUAUUGGAUAUUUAGAUCCAGAGUAUCUUAUGACAGGUAAUUUAACUGAAAAGAGCGAUGUCUAUAGCUUUGGAGUGGUUCUUGUUGAACUAUUAACAGGGGAGAAACCAAAUUCUAGCGCAAGAUCUGGCGAAAAGAGUAACAUCAUUCAAUAUUUUCUCUCAUCUCUAGAAAAUAAUGAGCUAUCUAGGAUACUUUGUUUUGAUGUAGCUAGUGAGACUGAAAUGGAAGAGAUUGAAGUUUUUGCAGAGCUUGCAAAACAAUGCGUACGAGUUAGUGGCAUGAAAAGGCCAACUAUGAAACAAGUUUCAGAAGAGCUUGGCAGAUUGAGAAAAUUGCAUGAGAGAUCAGGGGAUUAUCAUCAAAAUAGUGAAGAGACUGAACAUUUGUUAGGUCAAUCAUCUUACCGUUCCAUUGACAUUGGAACUGCAAAGUUGAACCAACAAGAAGUCCUUAGCCUGACAACGUUCGAUGUCGAGUACUCUACUGGUAGCAUUUGAAGACUCACCAAUCAUCCAAGGAGCAUAAUGAAAUGUAAUGUUAGUUGUCAAAGGGUGUUUAUGUCCUUAAUCCUAGGAAUGUUGUCUCAAUAAGGAAAAAAAAAAAAAGUCUUUAGAUGUUGCAUUAAGUUAAAUAUUGUAAAAUAAUCAUAAUUUGGUAAAACUUUGAAAGUCAUAUUGUUAAGUUAUGGCAUUUUUUCCCCUUAUUUGGCAUUUUUCAAUUUUUCCCCUUACAUAAAACAGUUUUCUGUUUUUUAAUAAAACAGUUUUUUUACAAAAUAAAAACUAGAAGACAGAAAAUGAAAAAUAUGUUCACUUGAUAAUAAUAAAAAAUUAUAUUUUAAUUUAACUUAACAAAUAUUAUUGAUCACUUUCAUAAUUAAAAGUAAUAAAAUAUUAUAAAAUAAAUUUAGAAAUUUGGUAUGUAAAAGUUUUUGAAUUUUUACUAUUGAUUAUUUAUAAUAAUAAUAUCAUUUUUUAUCAUUUUGUAAAAUUUUUUNNNNNNNNNNNNNNNNNNNNNNNNNNNNNNNNNNNNNNNNNNNNNNNNNNNNNNNNNNNNNNNNNNNNNNNNNNNNNNNNNNNNNNNNNNNNNNNNNNNNNNNNUAAUUUUAAUUAUGAAAAUGUCAUUUUAAAAAAAAGUGGAAAGCACGGCUCCGGAGUAGGACUAAUUACAAGACUUCUUAGACCAAAGGGGUAUACCUUUGAAUUUUUGGCACGGAAGCUUCGGCAUAAUAUGACCCGAGCAAGAUUUCAAUGCUUCGUACAGGUCAAUAAAUGAAAUAUUAUAGUCUCAAAAUAUCGUGCUAAACAAUAAAAAGACAGAUAUUAGGUCAAAAUUGUCAAACUCUUUCAGAGUGACACUGAUUUUAGGGAUCAAUUUAUGUUGCAUAUGUAAUUCUUAAUGAGGCAUCAAGCAGGAGAGAUAAGCAUGUCUGACAGAGCACAAGACUCUAGAAUAUCACUUAGAAGACCUAAUAAGAGCUAGCCAUAAGAUGUACAAAAGAUAUCGGCUCCUGAGCAAGACUUAUUACAGGGCUUCUUAGACCAAAAGGGUAUAUCUUUUAAUUUUUGGGCGGAAGAUUCAGUAUGAAAUGGCCCGAGAAAGCUUUUAAUGUUUCCUACAGGUCAAUAGACGAAGUAUUAUAGUCUCAAAAUGUCAUGCCAAGCAACAGACAGAGAGAUAUUGAUUCAAAAUUAUCGAAUGCUUACGAAGUGGCAGGAAUUUUGGGGAUGAACAUAUACUGCGUAUGCAAUUCUCAAUGAGGUAUCGAGCAGACAAGAAAAGUAUGUCCUACUGACUGUAAGACCCCACACUGUCACCUAGAAGACCCAAUAUGAGUUGUCCGUUAGACGUACAAAAGAUAUCGGCUCCGGAGCAUGACUAGUUACAAGACUUCUAAGACCAAAUGGGUAUACUUUCAGAUUUUUAGGCCUAGAAGCUCCAGUAUGAAAUGGCCCAAGUAUGAUGUCAAUGCUUCCUAAAAGUCAGUAAAUGAAGUAUUAUAGUCUUAAAAUGUCAUGUCAAGCAAUAGAAAGAGAGAUAUUGGUUCAAAACUGUUGAUUGCUUCUAGAGUGGCACAGAUUUUAGGGGUGAAUUUAAAUUGCAUAUGCAAUUCUUAAUGAGGCAUUGAGCAAGCGAGAAAAGCAUGUUCAAAUGACUACAAGAAUCCAUAUUAUCACCUAGAAGCCCUUAUACGAGAAGUCCAUAAGACGUGCAAAAGGUAUCGGCUCUGAAGUAGGACUAGUUAUAGGGCUUCUUAAACCAAAUAAGUAUACCUUUGCAUUUUUUGCCCGGAAGCUCCAGUAUAAAAUUGUUCAAGGAAGAUUUAAUGCUUCGUACAUGUCAAUAGAUGAAAUAUUGUGGUAUCAAAGUGUCAUGCCAAGCAACAGAUAGAGAGAUAUUCGGUCAAAAUUGUCAAACGAUUCUAGAGUGGCACGGAUUUUGGGGAUCAAUUUAUGUUGCGUAUGCAAUUCUUAAUGAGGCAUCAAGCAGGCGAGAUAAGCAUGUCCGAAUGAGCACAAGCCCCCAUACCAUCUCCUAGAAGACCCUAUACAAGCUGCCCAUCAGACGUACAUAAGAUAUCAGCUUCGGAGCAGGACUUUUUAGACUAAAGGGGUAUAACUUUGGAUUUUUUGGCCCGAAAGCUUCUGCAUGAAAUUGCCCAAUCAUGAUUUCAAUGAUUCCUAUACGUCAAUAGACAAAGUAUUAUAGUCUCAAAAUGUCGUGCUAAUCAACAAACGGAGAGAUAUUGGGUCAAAAUUGUUGAAUGCUUUCGGAGUGGCACAAAUUUCGGGGAUGAAUUUAUAUUGCUUGUGCAAUUCUUAAUGAGGCUCGAGUAGGCAAGAAAAGCAUGUCCACCUUCCUCAAGACCCUAUACUAUCACCUAUAAAACCCUAUAUGAGCUGCUUGUCAGACAUGUAGAAGAUAUUGGCUCCAGAGUAGGACUAGUUACAGGACUUCUUAAACCAAAGGGGUAUACCUUUGGAUUUUUCGCUAAAAACUCCAGCAUGGAAUGGUCUGAAUAAGAUUUCAAUGCUUUCUACAGGUCAAUAGACGAAAUAUUAUAGUCUCAAAAUGUCGUGCCACGCAAUCUACAAAGAGAUUUUAGGUUAAAACUGUCAAAUGCUUUCGGAGUGGCAUAGAUUUUGGAGAUCAAUUUAUAUUGCAUAUGCAAUUUUUAAUGAGACAUGAAGCAUGUGAGAUAAGCAUGUCCGGCUAAGCACAAGACUCAUAAUAUCACUCAAAAGAUCCUAUACAAGCUGGUUAUAAGACGUACAGAAGAUAUCUGCUCUUGAACAAGACUUGUUACAAGGCUUCUUAAACCAAAGGGGUAUACCUUUAGAUAUUUUGGCCGGAAGCUCCGGUAUGAAAUGGCCUAAGCAGGAUUUCAAUGCUUCCUACAAGUUAAUAGACAAAUUAUUAUAAUUUCAAAAUGUCGUGCCAAGCAAUAGACAGAAAAAUAUUUGAUCAAAAUUGUUGAAUGCUUUCAGAGUGAUACAGAUUUUGCAUAUGCAAUUCUUGUUGAUUUAGGGAUUCUUAUUCAAUCCAUGUCAUGUCCAACAUGUUUUUAUUUCUAAACCAUGAAUUAUGUAUGUAAAAAGAUUGGGUUGAGUAAAAAAAUUAUUAACUCGUUUAUCCAUCAUGGAUAUUUUAACUCAAUAAACUCGAUUUAAUCUUGAUCAUGUGCAACCCAUAUAAAUACACUAAUUUAUACAUUCAAAUGGAUUGCAUCUCUAAGAAUUUAAACUCUGAGGUAGGACUUUAAAAUUUAGGCCCUUCUAUGGGGAGGACUUUAGAAAAUUCUAAAUAUAAAUAUAUGGUGAUACAAAAUAUUUUUCUUUAUAUUAAUAUAGUUUGACAACAUAAUAGUUACACUUAAUAACAUUAAGAUUUCAUGAAAUUUUUGUUGAUCCGUUCCUGCCCGUCUCCUAUUAAUAACAAUAAUAGCAACAUUAACAACAUAAUUUAUAAUUUCAUGCAUAACCUGGCAAACAAGUUUUCUUCUUGCCGGCUCCAACUGCCCUUCCCAGACCCUAUAGUAAUCAACCACCUCCAAGUUCACCAAAUAUAUUAAACAGCCAUCUGCUUUGACAACACAUACCAAUUAAUUAUAUUAAAUCUCAUUAAUCAGUAAUUAACAACAAAUACAUUGAAAUUUCAAAUUUCUUACUAUUUUUUCUUGCAAGAAAGGGACUCCGUACGAAGCUGGCACAAAUUACUUGCCUACUUGGUCNNNNNNNNNNNNNNNNNNNNNNNNNNNNNNNNNNNNNNNNNNNNNNNNNNNNNNNNNNNNNNNNNNNNNNNNNNNNNNNNNNNNNNNNNNNNNNNNNNNNNNNNNNNNNNNNNNNNNNNNNNNNNNNNNNNNNNNNNNNNNNNNNNNNNNNNNNNNNNNNNNNNNNNNNNNNNNNNNNNNNNNNNNNNNNNNNNNNNNNNNNNNNNNNNNNNNNNNNNNNNNNNNNNNNNNNNNNNNNNNNNNNNNNNNNNNNNNNNNNNNNNNNNNNNNNNNNNNNNNNNNNNNNNNNNNNNNNNNNNNNNNNNNNNNNNNNNNNNNNNNNNNNNNNNNNNAGGGUUGACCCUUAAGUUUGAUCAAAAUAUUAGACUGGGAAAUGGCCCGUUUCGGUUCUCCGAUACUCGAAACAAGCUCACAGCUAUUGGGUGUGAUACUUUAGCCCUUAUGAGAGAUGCUGCAGAGACUUUUGGCAGCGGUUGUGUGUCGUUGUGUGACAAGAAUGUUACUCUACAAGGUUAUUGCUCAGGUUUUGGAUGCUGUCAAACAUCGGUGCCACAAAGUCUUAAAACACUGAGAAUUAAUCUUGCAAGUCCGAGUAAUCACAGCAGCGUUUGGCGGUUUAAUCCGUGUGAAUUCGCAUUUCUAGCUGAUGAAAGGACUUUCGAUGUUUCAAAGCUGCAACUCUCUGCUCUUCCACGUUCACCAGUCACAAGACAGUUUGCUUCUUCUGAUGUUGUUCUUGAAUGGGUAGUAAGAGAGGAGAGUUGUAAGGCUGCACAAUCGAGCUCAAACUCAAAUAAAUAUGCUUGUGGCAGUAAUAGUAAUUGUACAUACUCUGAAAAUGGCAAGGGAUAUCGGUGCUUAUGCAAAGAUGGAUUUACAGGAAAUCCUUAUCUUCCACAAGGUUGCCAAGGUAAUAAUUAGUUAAGCAAAUCAUCCUCAUUUUUUCUUGUACUUUGAAUUUUCAUUUUUAUUGGUUUUCAUUUCUUCUCUAAUUAAUUACUUCAUAUCUAUAUAACAGACAUUGAUGAGUGCAAAGAACCAGACAAGUACAAAUGCGAUGGAAGUUGCAAGAAUACAAUUGGGAGCUACACAUGCAGUUGCCCACUUGGAAUGCGCGGUGAUGGUAAAGUUGGUUGUCAAGGAUUUCGCAUUACAACUAUUGCUGCAAGUACUAAUAUUUUCUCAACUCAAUCCUCUUGCUUUUCUUCUUUAUUCAAGUUUUUUAACCAUCAGUAAGUAACUGAUCUUUCGACUUUUUUAUAGUUGUUGGAGGGGUUGCAUCCAUUACGAUUAUCGCCUUACUGAUCAUCAUUUUAUACAAGAGGCGAAGAAAUGAGAGGAAUUUUUUGAAAAAUGGCGGCUUGUUGUUGAAGCACCAAAGGGUAAGAAUCUUCACAGAAGCAGAAUUAGUGAAGGCUACCAAAAAUUAUGAUUCAAGUCUAUUUCUUGGCGAAGGAGGUUUUGGAUAUGUAUACAAAGGAGUUUUGGCAGAUAACACCCAAGUUGCAGUAAAGAAGCCUAAAGAUAAAGACAAGACUCAAAUAAAUCAAGAAUUUCAACAAGAACUUGGCAUUGUUUCUCAAGUCAACCAUAGAAAUGUUGUCAAGGUAUUAGGCCUUUGUUUGGAGACUAAAGUUCCUUUAUUAGUUUAUGAGUUCAUUUCCAAUGGAACCCUUUUCCAACAUAUUCAUUACAACAAGUCUAAAAUAUUAGACAACUGGAAAUAUCGUCUCAGAAUAGCUGCAGAGACUGCACUUGCACUUGGUUAUUUGCAUUCUCUAGCAGAUCCCCCAAUUAUCCAUGGCGAUGUCAAGUCAUCCAAUAUACUCUUAGACGAUACUUACACUGCAAAAGUAUCUGACUUUGGAGCUUCAGUGCUAAUUUCUCCGGGUCAAUCUGAUAUGGCUACAAGAAUACAAGGGACUAUUGGAUAUUUAGAUCCAGAGUAUCUUAUGACAGGUAAUCUAACUGAAAAGAGCGAUGUUUAUAGCUUUGGAGUUGUUCUUGUUGAGCUGUUAACAGGCGAGAAACCAAACUCUAGCGGGAGAUCUGGAGAAAAGAGUAAUAUCGUUCAUUAUUUUCUCUCGUCCCUAGAAAAUAAUGAGCUAUCUCAAACUCUUUCUUUUAAUGUAGCCAGUGAAAGUGAAAUGGAAGAGAUUGAAGUUUUUGCAGAGCUUGCAAAAGAAUGCCUACGUGUUAGUGGCAUGAAAAGGCCAACUAUGAAACAAGUUGCUGAGGAGCUUGGCAGAUUGAGAAAAUUACAUGAGAGUUCAUGGGAUCAUCAUAAAAACAGUGAAGAGACUCAGCAUCUGUUAGGUGAAUCAACUUACUGUUCCAUUGACAUGGGAACUACAAAGUUGAACCAACAUGAAACCCUUAGUAUGACAACAUUUGAUGUCGAGUACUCUACAGAUAGCAUUUGAAUAUAUUGGUUAUAAAUUUCUAUAACGUUCUUUUUAUUAUUUGUAUAUUUGUAGACUCACUUACAUAGAGAGGUUCCAAUCAUCCCAAGGACUGUUUCUAGGCCUAGUUGUAGCAGAUUAUGCAUUGUAUUACUGAUUUGAGGCUUCGAAAUAUGAUUUGAGUUUAUUCAUUUUGUGAAUUGUGAAGAAGAUGAUGGGUUUUUUGAAGUACAGAAACAUUUUUUUCCCAGGGAGAUCACAUCGAUUGAUAAAAGCUAGAGAUUUCCACCAAGUUAACUGAUUUGGCUAAAAAACUGAAUUAAACCCAUUAAAAACAGUUUUGAUUUUAUUCAAUUUUUCAAAUUGAAUUGAAAUUUGCAUACUUUCAUUGACGUUAAGCUUUGAAUUGAAAACAGUACAAGUUUCAUUCUUGAAGCUCCAAGGGCUUGAAGUAUUUGCCAUCUAUAAGAUAGGUUCCAAUGCUGAGACGAACUGCCCACACAUCCUUGGGCUUUCUCGACACAAUUCUGGCCAUGGCCAUAUACUUAAACAAAUCAAAAAUCAACCAAAAAUCAUAUAUGAAGAUGGAAAAAGAGAGGAAGAAGAGAAGGGUUAGAAAUGCACCUUCCAACAUCUCCAGGCUUUACUAACCCAGAAUUAACCCUGAGACAAGGUACUGAAGUUGCGGUCUUUAUCAUUUUUGGAGCCUCAAUAACAACAAUAGGAGAGCCUAUCUCAAGUUUUUUAAAUUUUUCUGGUGAUGAUUCUUUGGAUUCACAUUUAGUGACGAAAUUGAAGUUUUGGUUCCUAGAACUUGAGUUGGUGAAUUGCAAGAUUGAAUUGUGAAGUUUUGUGCAUGGAAUUGUAGAGGUAGAUGAGAGAGAUAAUGCCAUGAGAAUAGAAGAUAGAAUUUGUAUGGUUCAUGUAGGAUGCGUUGAUGUCCUUUUAUGAUGGAUGUGAAAGAGGAUGUCCAAAUACAAAAUAUUCACUAAUGCCUUCUUAUGUAGUCAAAUUCAUAUUAUUAUUUUACUUCUGCACAUGAAAAAAGACAUUAUUAUUUUAUUUUUGUACUUGAAAUAAGUAUCUUUAUGCACCCUUAAUUUUUUUUACAACAAAAUCAAAAUAUAUGAAAAAAAAAUUAUAAAAAAUAACUUUUUUAAGCAAAACAAAAAAGGGUGUAUAGAUUCUUAAUUCUUACGUCAAAAUCGAAUUUUAUAAACCCUUGUUACAUUGGUGAAUCAUAGUAAAUUGUUAUUGAAAAUAUUUCUAGCAUAUAAAUAUAACGAAAUACAUCUCGUUACAUUAUAUUACACUCUAACACAAUUCCCUGAGCAUAAUUUUAAUUUUAUUUUUUUAUUAAAAUAAAAANNNNNNNNNNNNNNNNNNNNNNNNNNNNNNNNNNNNNNNNNNNNNNNNNNNNNNNNNNNNNNNNNNNNNNNNNNNNNNNNNNNNNNNNNNNNNNNNNNNNNNNNNNNNNNNNNNNNNNNNNNNNNNNNNNNNNNNNNNNNNNNNNNNNNNNNNNNNNNNNNNNNNNNNNNNNNNNNNNNNNNNNNNNNNNNNNNNNNNNNNNNNNNNNNNNNNNNNNNNNNNNNNNNNNNNNNNNNNNNNNNNNNNNNNNNNNNNNNNNNNNNNNNNNNNNNNNNNNNNNNNNNNNNNNNNNNNNNNNNNNNNNNNNNNNNNNNNNNNNNNNNNNNNNNNNNNNNNNNNNNNNNNNNNNNNNNNNNNNNNNNNNNNNNNNNNNNNNNNNNNNNNNNNNNNNNNNNNNNNNNNNNNNNNNNNNNNNNNNNNNNNNNNNNNNNNNNNNNNNNNNNNNNNNNNNNNNNNNNNNNNNNNNNNNNNNNNNNNNNNNNNNNNNNNNNNNNNNNNNNNNNNNNNNNNNNNNNNNNNNNNNNNNNNNNNNNNNNNNNNNNNNNNNNNNNNNNNNNNNNNNNNNNNNNNNNNNNNNNNNNNNNNNNNNNNNNNNCUUCCUAAAUUUUCAUUAACAUUCAAAGAUAUAUUGAAACAACUUGGGAUAAUAUUGCAGGACGAAUAGAAAGAUUAGAUAUAGAAACAGGGGUAGCUGAUCAAAAUUCUUUCAUAUGUUAUAUUAUAGCAGGUGAAAAUAGCUAAUAUCACAUUUUUCUAUGAUAAAUUUAUUUUUCCCCAUCUUUGGCUCAUCAUCCAGGAACCCAGCAAAGAUUAUUCUGCACCCAAACAAUUAUCCUAAGCUUUCUAAAAAUCUUUUACUAUACAACAAAAGAUGUGAUAAAUUGAAUCACAUAAAAUGUCUACUAUCUUUCCUCAUGUGCAUUAAUGCAGAAACAAUAAUUUCUCUUGUGCUUAAGCACUGAAGGAAAUUGCGUGGUGUACGCUUCAGUAGAAUAGGAACAAAGCAUGCAGUAUUAACUAUCAUAAAACAGGUAGUCCAUCUCACCUUUGCCUCAUUUGAGACAGAAGGCUUUGAGGGGAAUUCAACCCUGCGAGCUUUAAUAAUUGUGUCUUCACGCAAUAUUCGUUCUUGAGAUUGGUCAUGCCCAAAAGGACGUCUGCCAAAGAGCAUUUGGUAGAAUAGAACCCCAGCUGACCAGACAUCAACCUGACUCCCAAAAGAGAGCAAGCAAAGCAAUGGACAACAAAUAAAGAUAAGAAUAAGAUAUUCAUUAUCUAUGAAAAAGCUUCAUAAAAUGAUAUGUCUUGAGCAAUACAACCAUUUAGACAUUCAUAAAGGCAUGACGCAAGAAACAAAGGGAGUUCCUUGUUUCACAAUAAUCCCCUACCCUCUUCCCUGCAAGGACAUUUAUUCAUAGCAAGACUGACCUUCGAUGAUAUUAAAGGGAUCUUGCUGAGCUCAAAGCAUUCUGGCGGCAAGUACCUAAAUUACAGAAGGGGGAAAACACAUUAGCUACAGUUGCCUUAAAGCUAAACAAGUGAACCUAUAAGCAACAUUCUAACUGCAAUCACAUCAAGAUUCAUCUUUUCAUUGUGUCUUUCUUUGUGCAUCCAUGUGUUUUGCACACACAAAACAGAAAACAAACAAGAAAUAAAAUACCAUGGAAAAAUAGUUGGAAUAGCUAAAGAGAAUCAACGCACAAUUUCUAUUAAAAAGGGGCAAAAGAAGAGUUAGGUUAACUUAUGAAUUACUAGUGAAAAAUAUAUACAACAAUUUCAUGCAUGUAACUUUAUUCAUCCAUUUCAAGUCUGUACACGAACUCCAAUCCUUUUACCCAUUAACAAUUUAGAAGAUUUCAAAAAACCUUUAUCACUUAGCUUUCGACUUUUCAGAAAUAUAUUAGCGGUAUAGAAAGACCCUAUGCAGCUUAGGGUUGGCUCUGGGCCUUCCCUGUGCAGCUUAGGUGGAAGGCGAAGAAAACCCCAACAGGAAAAUAAACUGGAGCACCUAAGAACAUAUCUUCACAGACCAAGAACUACAAGAUCGCCAGUAUUAAUAACCCUAUUUCAUCCAUAGAAAUGCAAAUCUAUUCCAUGCUCAAAAUUCUGUCAUCAUGCAUCAAAUGCUGUCAUAUUAGUCAAGAGGUAACUGACCACCUAAUGAAAUAAAAGAAUCCAAAUGUUUCUCAUAACACUUAAAAACUGAAAUUCUGAUGAACAGAAAUGAAUUCAUUGUAUGGUAUGCAUGGGUGAUCUGAUAUCAACACAAUAAAUCACCACAAUAUUUGUGAUUGAAAUCCUUAUGCAAACUAAGGUGACAUAGCAAUGAAUAAUCUGUUACUAGCUAUCUUACAUAUUCUGUUCAGACGUUCCAAAACAAAUUCAAGUUUGAAAGAUGAAAGUUUUGACACGCACUUGACAUAUUAGAUAACCAACAAGUAAUUCUUUUAGAUUAGGAAACCGCAAAGUUGUUUUAGAUAUAUUGUGAAAGUGAGAACUUGUCCACUAAAUAAGUUGUAGAAUGUUGUAUUCAAACAAGGGAUACAACAAUUGCAUCCAGGUGAUCACAAAUGGCAGACUGCACAUGACUCACCAAUAUGUUCCAGCUUCCUGGGAUGUAAGUUCCAUACCCUGGGAUCCAACAUCAUCCUCCAUUAUCUUGCUCAGACCAAAAUCAGUAACUUUAGCAACACCAAGCUCAUCAAAUAGAACAUUCCCAGGCUUCAGAUCAUAAUGAAUAAUCUUCUGUGUUCUUUUAUUCAAGUAUACAAGGCCUUGAAAUAUUUGUACAAUAAUGAUCCGAGCUUCUCUCUCAGGCAGUAUAGGUGUUGCUUUAAGAACAGCAUCGAGAUCCUUUCCUGAUAAGGGAAGAUGAAGGAAAAUCAAUAAAGUAAAAUUUUGAGGGUACAUUCAAUAGGUUCAUUCUUACUGAUCAGAGCACAGUCUGAAGGUAUUCACUGAUAUGCCCAUAUAUAAGUAUUGAAAUCAAUAUCAUGUUCAAGAGAAUAUCAUACCACUACAGUACUCUAAGACAGUGCAGAAUGUAUUCUGGUCAAUCUCAAAAAUGUCCCAAAGCCGAACAAUGUGAUUAUGCACCAAUGUCUUGUGAAUAUUGUACUCUCGUAUAGCAUGCCUUAUGUAACUUUGCUUCUUAUCCUCACUCCACUGAGCAUUCAGACCAUGAAGCUUACAUGCAACGUAUCUAUGCUCUACCAAAUCAUAAGCCUGCUGGAAAUUUCUGACUUCAAAUCACUGCAAAAAGGUAUGCUUUUACAAUUGCCAAUAUUGGCAAAAGAAUUCUCUAGACUUUUGCUAUGGCAAUAAGGAGCCUUGCUUAAAAAUGGUGCUGCCAAUGUUUCAAUUAUCAAAAGAUUGAUGAAUUGUAAAGUUCUGACCUUGUAAACCUCACUAAAUCCUCCUUUCCCAAGGAGGUUUAGCAGGGCAUAUCGGUGAUUCAAAAUCUGAAAAUUAUUAAAGCGGGAACCAUCCUCAUCUCUUAUACGUUUCAUUUCACGUAUCAGCCGUCCCUUCUCCAGUUCAUAACGAUCUCUCUCACGCAAAAUAAUUUCUUCCUCCUAUAGAAAAUCAAUAGCCUAUUAAUGAGGACGCACAUGUGCAUAGAGAAGUAAAAUUAGUGAACUUACACGCUUAAUGCUUGCUAGACGAGAUUUAAAAAUUUCGUCCUGGAUUAUAAAAUCUUCAUCUUGCGCUCCUGAUUCUGCAUCUGUUCCAUCUCCCUUAUCUGCAUAUCAAAAAAAAAAAUAAAAAUAAAAAUAAAUGCAAUUAAUAUUAAGAUUUUUUCCUUUUUUUGUUUUGCAAGCAGAGAAAAAAAGACCGAGAGAGCUAACAAAAGCUAAAUAAACCACAAGCGAGCCAGCUUUUGAAAUUCAAGUGAAAGACAAACAUUUAUUAUUUAUCAACACGGGGCCAAAAGUUUCCUGUCCGUACUAAGAAUUUUGUAAACCACCAAUGGUAAAAAGUAGAUGAUCCUUUGACAGGAAUAAAAGGAACACCAACAGAUCCAUGAAUGAGCAUUAAGUUCAUGUUCUAGAGUUUCAAAAGGACCAUUCAGCUCCAUUCUCUCUGAAAAGAGAUAACAGGCCGUAAAGAGGACAACUGCCCAAGUGUUGUAUGAUAACGGGAAAUGCCCACUGGAGGUUAGCAAGAAUAUGUACCAGAAAACCUUAGAGCAAACAUAAUUUUCUGUUGAUCAGCAAAAGCCAUAACAGCAUGAGGACUGAUGAAAAAAAAAAUUAUAAAUAUGGUAAAAAAGUUUGAGGGCAACAAAAUCUUAAUAGACGCCUUAGCAAAAAGAGAGAUGCUAAAAUACUAAUCACAGUUUAGUACUUGACCAACUAAAAGAUCAAAAGGUACUUGAUAGGUAUUCCUGAAUCUUACAUUCCAACUACCUCAAAUAAUACUAAAAGAGUAGCAUAUGGGUGUCACCAAGCACUAAAAGGUAAAUGUUUUACCAGAUUGUCGUUUCUUCAAUGAUUUCCGCUGCCUCUCAACAGCCUCCUUUGUUUCCACCAAUUGUCUCUAAAAAGUCAAAUGAUGAAUCGAAAAUAUUACAAAUGCACAAAUGCACGCAAAAAGGUGACUUAUUUUAGAUUAAUAAUAAUGGUAUGUUAGUGUUCAAAGUACUACAGCGGCAGGGGUCAUUUCAGUAAAUUUGCAAGUUCUGCUGGGAUUCAUAAAAUUCUAUGGGUUCUAAAUUUACUUUAUUUGGUUCAUUUUGGUUAGAAUCCUAACAAUUUAGUAAGUUUAAUACUUGAUUUCAGUUUUGAAGUUGGAAUUCAUGCCAAAAAAGAUGAGUUAAAGUAAUUACAGUCUUAAGGAUUACUAAUUAGGAUUACUUUGAAACUAUGGAUGUCUAAGCUUAUCAUGCUUUAUUAGUAAGUUUCCAGUUCAAAUUCUUCAGUAUUGAUGCAAUUCUAGCUACAAUUUACUUAAAAGUGCGAACAAAAUUGUGAGUUCAUAGACUGCAACUUGAAAAGGAAAAAAAAUUGAAAUAAAUAAAUGCAGAGAAAGUAGAGUUUAAAAAGGGAUAAUUAAUUGGUUCAGGGGGGAGAGAUUUGACUAUGACAUACGAGAUGAGCAUUUAGAUCUUUCAGCAUUUGCCCAUCCUCCCAUGUCUCAGAUAUAACAGUUCCAGCUCUACAACAGACAAAGAAAACAUGAGUAACCUAAAUAAUCAAAAAAAAAAAAAAAAAAAAGGCACUCAACUGACAUAGAUUAAAAUAAGAAUUGCAGAGAGAGAGACAGACAGUAAACAAGGAUUGGCAAUAUGCCUACAUCUAUGGAGAGCCACCUGCAGUUUCCUCACCACAAUGGAAAAACCCACAAGUGCCCAUUCAUAGAAAUGAAUUUUCCUUUUACACGUAAGAAUAUCAGAACCCACAGUUACAAAAAUACACACCCAAUGUAGAUAUGCCAUGCGGUAACUAACUGUACCAUAUUACCUAGCUUUUAGCGUGCAAUUUCUUCUCUGAAAAUGAGACACAAUCUGAAUGUGGAAUAUUUGUUUUGGUUGGCAUUAGAUACAUAUAUAAUUUUUUUUAUCACACCAACGUUAGCUUCCAAUAAAAUAGUAAAUAGCCUUGAAUCAAGCAUGUUUAAUCACUUCUUUUGCCAUGCUUGAUGGGAUAUGCUACUGAAAGCUCGAGAUGCAGAUAUAACUUAAAUCAAAUAGAUGAAGGACUCACACAUAAAUAGAAACAUCAUAAUCCCAAUUUAGUUAAGUUCUCUGCAUUCUACUGUGUCUGGAAUUCUUCUCAAUUUCAGUUUUUUCCUUUGAAAAUUUUCAUUUUUUUUAUUUCCUCUUACAUCAAUCAAAAAUGCACCAAGACAGGAUACCUUAUCACGCCUACAUUGCCAAGUCUUAAAGAAUCCUGGCGAACUUUUAUCCUAGCUUCCUGUCUCUCUGCCUUUGAGACAGAUAUCAGUAGAUCAGAUAUCAUUUUCAUUCUCUGCAACAAGAAAGAAAGGAUACUAAAAAUGGGCAUAAAAUAUAAAUAAAGUUUACACCGUCUUCAAAUGACAUAUACCCUGUAAGAAACUUAAGCAUGCACAUGAAUCACACAUUGAAAACUAAAAUUCAACAUAAAGAUUCCAGCAGACAGAAGAAUUAAGUAAUUAAAUUCUAAGAUACUUUCAUCAGAACACUUGAAUUCUGGACAAGAAUAUGCUACUGCCCUAAAAUGAUGCCUUACAGACACAUCUCCAAAAUUUAACUACGGCAAACCUCCAGAGCAGCUUAACUUCUUAGGCAGUAGUGCAAUGUCGUUCAUGUCCACUGCAUAAAGAAGAAAAUUAUUCUGACCCUCCACCAUGAUGAUUAUUUCAGGGUAUAGUUUCCUUUUGCAUGCCAACAAUAUAAAAUGACUGAGAUCAAGAAAUAUAUUUUUGCCUGUUUAACUAAAUCUAUACAUUUCCAGCUCUUUUUUUCACGAGAAAACAAAUAAAUCUUUAGUACUUUCCUACUUUUGUAAGCUCCAGAAUCUCAUUGAAUCAUUUAGAUGCUUGUUAUUUAGGCGAAAGUUUUACUCCCUCUCAUGAUUCCAUUCAUUUGUUUCAGUCAUGAACCUGUGAGGCUCACGAAACAAAACUUAUCAGAUAGAAAGUAAAUGCAUUUAAUAUGAAGAAGAGAACCAAUAUGGCAGGAACAUUAAUAGUAAGAUUACUGGUAACUGCAAUAUUAAUUAACUACUAAAUCAGCCAAAGGUAAAUAUAUUGUAAAACCCAUGUCCUUCAGAAAGCACACCUUUGGCUUCAUUUGUUGUUCAUAAUCUUUUAGCUCCUUCAGUUCCUGCACAAAUAAAUAAAUUCUUUUAAUACAAUGUGGAUAAUUAAAGGAUAUAACGUAAGGGGAAAAAAAUAUACCUUUUCUAAUCGACAGCACAGAUUGUGAUUGUCAGCAGCCUCUUGACGAGAUUUACGAAGUUCCUCCUCUAGCAUUGCAACCUUUGCACGUAGGGAAGUGACCUCCUCCUAAUUCAAGCAAGCAAAAGGUGGGAUUAGAACAACAGAACGCCAAGGUGUUUUGUACUGUGGGUAAAGCAAUGAAUCCCUGGGAAGAUCUCAAAAUCUAACAAAUUGCAACGGAAGAUUUUUCUCUUUUAUUUAACACACACACACACACACACAAAACAAAAAAGAAAAGGUAAAAGAGUUUAUAUAACAAAGUCACCAAACUGAUACCUCUGAUGAAGUGUGAUCAUCAUUGCGUAAAUUCUCUUUAUGCCUAUUAUCCUGCAAAAGAUUAUACGUAAUUGUCCUUUUAGAUAAAUUUCCUGCAAAGGAGUUUACCAUUUGGAUGCAGACUUCCAGAGUACAAAGAUGGAAUGGAAACAAAAAGUUCUGCGUGUAAUCUUUAGAGGCCAUAAGUUCUCUGUCCAUAAAGAUCAAUAGCAAAAACAAUGGUGCCAGAAACAAAAAUUAUCUACAGAAAGGAACUACUCAAGUGUGCACAAGUUAACCCACAAUACUGACAAACAGCCUCCAAGUAAGCGCCAAUGACAUAUGCUGGUUAACGUCCACUGGAAACUCUUGAAUGAGAACCUGAAGAAAAAGGUUUAGAUUUCCUGAGGACAUAGCUUCAAUAUAUGCAGUCUUUUUUCUUCUGUUUCAUGCUGAACUGAACCUUAAGUUUGGUUAUGUUUUUCAAUUGAUAUUUUCUUCGGUUAAUGAAACCAUUUCUUCUACUUCUUCGUAGAAGACAGUAGGAAAACUCAAACUUGAGUCUUUAUACAAGCUGAGGUUAAGUCAUUAUCUUACGGGUUCCCGUUUCAUUUUAUAACAUUAUCCAUAUUUUGUUGAAUAUAUUCAGAAUUUCAGAUUGCUCCUCAAAGUCCAAUCCUAAGGUUCAUGCCCUAUAGUACCAUAUUGAUUAUUUAGAAUUAAUGUAUAAAUAUUUAUUAGUACCAGUCUUUAUAAUUUAUUUAGAAAUGAAUAUUAAAUGAAAUGAAUUUCAUGUUGUUAAUUUUGGUCUUAACAUAAGAAAGAUUUAGAAGAUUCACUUGUGGAAUUACCUUAAAAAAAUAAAAAUUUUCUUGUAUAAUUCAUGUGAAUGAAAUGAAUUGAUUGUUAAUAUACGACGGUCGAACUUAGUUUUAAAAUUUUUGUAAAAUCAGCUUAAUAAAAUAUCGAAAAUUUUACAUUUCGCUCAUAAAAUAUUUUUUCUUGUUCCACAACUCUUAAUAUAUUUCUUAACGGAAUGGUAAUUCCUUUUUAUCAUCAAAAAGCAAAAGAAAGGAAUCAUUAAAAUGGAAAAGUGAGAGAUGGGAAAGAAUAAGAGAGCUAUAUAUAUAUAUAUAUAUCUAUGGCAGAAGAAUGUUUAAUAUCAUAUGAUUGUGAAGAACUUUGCAUUUAGAGCCAAAAGUCAUUAAUUAAGCCAUGGCAGGUAUAUAUGAAAUUUUCUAUUUGAUCAUAUCAUAGCCGCAAGCUUUUUUUUUUUAUUUUAAUUUGUUCAUAUUUUCUUUUUCCAAACUUUAUUGCUAUUUUCUUGUUGCAUAUAAAAAAACUACUGGUAAUGUGGUUGAGCUUGUUUCAUCGAAAUUCCAAUGGACAAUUAAAAACUUUUCCAAGAUUACUGUCAAGAAACUGUAUUCAGAUAUAUUUAUUGUUUGUGCCUGUAAAUGGUAUAAUUUCUUGGCUACCUGUAGCUAAUAUUAUUAGAAUAAGAACUUGGUUAGUUUGUUUCAACUGAAUUCAACUAGAUUAAACGGAAUAAACAGAAUUUUUGAAUUAAAAAAAAAAAAACUAAUUUAACUAAACCAGUCCGAUUUGAUUUUUUUUUUCGUAGUUAUUAGAUCAAUUUAGGUUUUAAAAUAUUUGGAUUUCCUGGUUUAGUAUAAUAAAAACCGAACUAAACAGAAAAUUUUUAAUUUUUUUCUAUCAAAACUAAAAUCAAACUGAAUCAUAUAAUCAGUUCCAUUGGUUUUUUUUUUUUUUUUUUUUUUUUGUGUGUUUUAUUGAGUCCUAAAUAUUAUAUUAUGGGUCAAAAUCUAUGAGUAGUUUGUAAUAUAGUUUUUUAUGCAUGAAAAACUGACUUUGUUUUAAAAAAAAAAAAAAAGCAUAAAUUAUUAUUCAUUAAUCAGUUAAAGUUCUUUUUUUUUUUAAUUCAAAAUUAUUAUUUGCAGUAACAAUUCCAAAAUUAACGCUUAAUGUCUUCCUGUUAAAUAUCUUCCUAUUUUUGUUGUUUUUGUCAAUUUAUCAGGCGUUUGAUUGUUUUCCCAAAAGGAAACAAAGUAGAUGAUUAUCUGUCAAUAUAUCUGGCAGUUGCUGAUGCAGCAAAUUUGCCUUCUGGAUGGAGAAGAAAAGCAAAUUUUAGUUUGGCAGUUAUUAAUCAAUCCAAUAGCCAGUCUAGUCAGAAAACAUUUUUUGCACAAUUUGUGUUAGGUACAGCUAUACCGUGAAAAAUGGGUGAAAGGAUUGUAAUGUCCUUCGAGAAUGUUAAUUAAGUAGAAAUUGUGAAUUAUUAAUAAUUAUUCUAUUAUACUAAUUGACGUGGUCUUUGUUGUGGAAAUUGAGCUUUUUCUGCCAAAAAACAAUUUGUGAAUUACUGUACAUAAGUAAAUUUCUAGAUAAGUGGAGGAGUCACAAAUGGUCUCACUUAAAAUCCACUUGCCUUAGACUAAAUUCGUGUCAUUUGACAGAAUUUAUCUAGACAUGCAAUUAAUCAAACAAUAACACAAAAGCAAUAAAUAAGAAAUAUACAAAUUUAGAGAAGAGAGAAACUUCUAACUUACUAGGUAUUGGAAGACAAGUUGGGAUGAUUAAAACUUAAGGAGGUAGGCUCCUUUUAUAGGCAAAGGACUCACUAUUCCCUUCCAAUUUUCCCGAUGUGGGAUUCUAAGCCACCUAAACCAACAGUCUUAUUGAACUUUCUACUAAUGAAAAAAGCGGACGAUCUCAGAUUUGAAUUUAUCGACUAGAGGAGGAUUUACCCUCUGUAAUUAUAUCUAAUGCAUAACCUAUUUUGAUAUUAUAUAUGUUCACGUCUUGAAUUCUGGUGAGGCUAAGCCAAUACUAUAUAUAUGGCUUAAACUUUAUGUAUAUUUUGCAGAAACAACAAUUGAAUUCAAUGCAAAUGUAGUUGGUUGGGGUUUCCCAUAUUUUGUUCCUCUUAGCAAUAUAGGAGAUCCUAAAGAAAAUUAUCUUGUGGACGAUACUCUUCUAAUAGAAGCUGAAAUUACUGUCAGCAAUGUUAUGCAUCCUUCAGUAUCAGUCGAGACAAAAGAACCUGAACAACAAAGCAUCCAGGCACCACCACCUCCUCCAGUGAUCGCUGAGGAAAAGGAACUUCCAAAGGUAAUUCUUUCCAUUAAAAGACAAGUUUUUUUGAAUUUUCUUUCUGAAAAGAAAAUAACAUUUUUUUUUGGGCUGCCAUGACAGGAUCCCUCGGUUGAGUCUAAAGAAUCCUCCCAAGAUGUGCUAACAAAAUCUAAGAGUCUCCUAACAGAGCUUUCAAGCAGAACUACAACCCAAAGAUCAUCUUCAACUGAUGAUAUUUCAGUUUCACCUCAGCCUGAUAAUUUGCAGCAAGAAAAUGAAGCAUUGGCAGGAUUCUUUAACAUGUCAUUAGAGGCAAUCCAACAGGCUAACGUCUUUGGCAAUAUCGAAGAAAUAAUCCGUACACUUAUUCCAAAUACAAACGAUUUGCAAAUGAAAACAGUUCUUGAAGAUCUUGCCUCUCGAUUAAAAGAGUUUCAAGAAAUAAUCCCUACUGCUAAAGCCACUGUAGAAGCAGCUGAGAAUCGUAGGAAAUCUCUUCUGGAGAAAACAACAAAGCUUGAUUCAAAAUUAGCAGAAAGUCGAGAGAAACGUAGUUCCUUGGAUUCUGAGCUCUCAAAGAUUUCAAAUGAAGUGAAGAAAAUUGAGACUGAAAUUCAACGGUUAACCGCUCAGAAAGAGAAGCUUCUCGUCGAAAAGAAAAAUGUUGUUGCUCAGGUGGAGAAACCUAAUCCAGAAGCAUUAAAAGACUUGGAAGAAUGGAAAAAGCUUGAAGAGGAAAUGAAGCAAGCUAAUGCUGAGUGGGUUGGAGCAAAAGAGAAAUCAGCAUUAGCUAAUAUUCGUUGGAAACUUCACAAGGAGGAGUUAGGUCUUUGAAAUGCUUAAUGUCCCUUUUAAUGAAUUGAAUUGUGCAAUCUUUUUUUCUUUUGGAUUGAAUUUAUUCAUUUAAUGUGCUUAGUUUAUAAUAUCAUUGAAAUAAAUUAUUGUGUUUUAUAAUUUAAAAAAAAAUAAGGGAUUUAUUUUAACUAUCAUGAAUGAGGAGGGAGCUAGGCUUAAUUUUCAAGUUAAAUGAAAAAUAUUUUAAGAGUAAAAUUCACUCUAGGCUUGUUUGAAGAUCCAUGGGCUGAUCAGAGCUUUACAGACCACCUUGGAAGCCAGGUUUAGUUAAUAAACUUAAUGUUGGACUUUAAUUUCUUUUUUAUGGAUUAUGAAUCAAUCUCACUAUUCAUAAAUAGGCUCAUAGAGAUUUGGCAAGGGAAGCUGUGAGGAAGUCACUUGUUCUAUUGAAGAAUGGAGAGAACGCAGAUGCCCCAUUGCUUCCUCUACCUAAAAAUGCAGGCAGGAUUCUUGUUGCUGGUACCCAUGCCAGCAAUCUGGGCUAUCAGUGUGGUGGUUGGACUAUCACUUGGCAAGGCGUUAAUGGCAACAACUAUACAGCCGGUAGAUACUAAAACCCUUUUUCCGGCUAAUACUUUGCUUUGUGUUGAUAUUAAUUUGAUCACCGCGAAUAUUUGAAAUAAACGAUUCAUAUAGCCGGCCUAAAUAGUUUUGUACUAAGACUUAGUUGUUGAUGUUGUAUUGUAAUGUAACAGGAACCACUAUUCUAAGUGAAAUCUCAGCUGCUGUUGAUCCAAGCACAGAAAUAACCUACAGUGAAAAUCCUGAAGUUGCUUUUAUCAAGGCCAACAACUUCUCCUACGCCAUUGUUGUUAUUGCAGAGCUUCCUUAUGCAGAAACAAACGGAGAUAAUCUCAACCUGACAAUAACAGAACCAGGUCUUUCGGUGAUCAACAAUGUCUGUGGCACCACUAAAUGCGUUGUUGUUGUAAUCUCCGGCCGCCCUUUGGUGAUUGAGCCAUACAUGCCCCAAAUAGAUGC
rnacentral:lncRNA from 1 species